GGCGGUAUAGCCAAGUGGUAAGGCAGAGGAUUGCAAAUUCUUUAUCCCCAGUUCGAAUCUGGGUGCCGCCU
rnacentral:tRNA from 1 species